rnacentral:rRNA from 1 species
CCUACGGGUGGCUGCAGUGGGGAAUAUUGGACAAUGGGCGAAAGCCUGAUCCAGCCAUGCUGCGUGUGUGAAGAAGGCCUUCGGGUUGUAAAGCACUUUCAGUGGGGAAGAAAGCCUUGGGGCUAAUACCCUCGAGGAAGGACAUCACCCACAGAAGAAGCACCGGCUAACUCCGUGCCAGCAGCCGCGAUAAUACGGAGGGUGCGAGCGUUAAUCGGAAUUACUGGGCGUAAAGCGCGCGUAGGCGGUCUGAUAAGCCGGUUGUGAAAGCCCCGGGCUCAACCUGGGAACGGCAUCCGGAACUGUCAGGCUAGAGUGCAGGAGAGGAAGGUAGAAUUCCCGGUGUAGCGGUGAAAUGCGUAGAGAUCGGGAGGAAUACCAGUGGCGAAGGCGGCCUUCUGGACUGACACUGACGCUGAGGUGCGAAAGCGUGGGUAGCAAACAGGAUUAGAUACCCUAGUAGUC